CAGACGAGUGGAUGGAGUGAGACGAAACAAUUGGGAAUUUCAUGGUUACAAAAACAAGUUGAAGGAGACUCCGCGCCACAUGCAUUAAUUUCAUCUAACGCGACUGUCAGACAACCUACGUCCAUGGCAGAGAUUUUGCUGGAGUUUUAACACUGAUUUUAAACGCCAGGGAAGAAAGGAAAGGUAUAUCAUGUCAAGGUCAGCCUUGGAGGUGUUCAGUGAAGCCAGCGAGCUGCCUUUGAUGCCAAGCUAAAUCACAGACACAAAGUCUUUGUCCCUGCACACAAGGCUACGACAGCGGAGCUGUGAUUGGACCUUCACCUCAACGAUAUGGCCUCCUGAAAGUGGUGGGCGUACAACCAGCGUCCUCGCUCCUGCAGGAUUUUUCGUGUGUGUUUUGACCAAGUCAGCCAGCCAGCCAGCCAGCCAGCCAGCCAACCAGUGUGUGAGUGUGUGUGUGUGCCGUCCUUGCCGUCGCCCGUCGUCUGCAGCUGGCCCUCCAUCAGACGGACUCAGGCCCUCUCAUGCCUUCCCGGGCUCCUCAGGUUCCCCUCCCCCAGGUCACCACCGGU